rnacentral:tRNA from 1 species
GCGAUUAGCUCGGUUGUGAGAGCGCGACCUUGCCAAGGUCGGGGGCGCGAGUUCGAGUCUCGUUACCCGCUCCA